AAAAAAAACAAGUGAUCAACUAAUCAUUCUAACUUACAUGUCUAACGUUGAUACGAAGUAAAAAGGUUCAACGCGAACGGUGCGCUUUCAUAUAAACUAAACAUUCGAAAAGGGAUUGCAAUGAUAGUAUAUCAUAAUCGUAAAUUCCAAGGAUAUCCCCAUUCGGAUUUACAACUAGUUUUAAAAGAAUUCGCCACUCCCCUAAAUGUAGAAAGAUG
rnacentral:lncRNA from 1 species